rnacentral:rRNA from 1 species
GGUUGCGAUCAUACCAGCACUAAUGCACCGGAUCCCAUCAGAACUCCGCAGUUAAGCGAGCUUGGGCGAGAGUAGUACUAGGAUGGGUGACCCCCUGGGAAGUCCUCGUGUUGCAACCC